rnacentral:rRNA from 1 species
UACGUAGGUGGCAAGCGUUGUCCGGAAUUAUUGGGCGUAAAGCGCGCGCAGGCGGUCCUUUAAGUCUGAUGUGAAAGCCCACGGCCCAACCGUGGAAGGUCAUUGGAAACUGGAGGACUUGAGUACAGAAGAGGAAAGCGGAAUUCCACGUGUAGCGGUGAAAUGCGUAGAGAUGUGGAGGAACACCAGUGGCGAAGGCGGCUUUCUGGUCUGUAACUGACGCUGAGGCGCGAAAGCGUGGGGAGCAAACAGG